UCCGACGUUUAACAGAGACGUCACGCUGCGUUUCCUCGGUACCACAUCAAAUCGUGAGGCACAUAGUAUUGUCAGUCAUACGCUCCCAUUUUUGGAUUGGUUCUCGUUGGUCAUGUGUUUUUAUGUGUUUAUGUCACCUAGUUUAAGCUUUAACGAUUUGAUUUGGGAUGCCUUUCAGUAAAAUUAAUACCAGUGCUAUUUGGCUUUACUAAACAUGCAUCACAUUUUAAGUUUAACGUUUGAUUUAAUCGCAAUAUAUGGGUUGACAUUAAAGAAUACAUAAUGUUCCUCUCAUGUAAACAGUCCAGUGUAAAUUACUCUGUUAUGUUGUUGAAUUAAGCGUAAGGAUAAACUUGCAGUACCCACACUCAAGACCCUGGAACAGACAUUUAUAGGUGGUUAUAGCGUUGAUGGAAUUAAACAGACGGGACCCUUAAAUGUACCAGGAUCAUCUGCGACCGAAAGUUCCUGCUGGCGUGUCGCAGCUCUCCAGUGGCAAAGACUCCUCCAUGUGGUCUGCCCAAAAUUCCAGGGGUGACCAUUCCUCCCUCUGAGGACAACGUAAAAAGAACCAUGAGGGAGAAAUCCCAAACAACAAUAUAAAUGCAACUGACAGCCGCCACACUGGUUUGUUUACACCUCAGACAAACAUCUCAGGGAUGCAGCUGCAUUUAGAGGUAUGGAUUCAGAGACAUUUUUCAAAUGCAUAUUCAUCUAGUAAUUGAAGCACUAAUCAAUCCUCUAACGCAUUUAUAUUAUGUUUAUCACUAUCCCCCCAUUAUGUCUGUCAUUAAUAAUGGCUUGAGGUUAGAUUAUAUAAUACAAGUAGGUCAUUUUCACCAUUUCAUGCCACGUUAUUGUUCAUCCUUAAAUUGUUUCACUGUUGGUGGUUUUCUGUUUACAGUAUUUUUUGGGCCUCAACCAAUCAGCAGUUUAGCAUGUAUCCAUCGCAUUAACAUCAUUUUCAAAUGUCAUAACUGUUAGUUCUGUAAAUCAGCUGUCAGCGAACCUGAAAGGUUGAAUCAAUCUCAUCUACCGUUGUCAACAUUUUCUUGGCAAAUUAUCUGUGUUAAUUUAAUCCACUUUCCCAGAAGAAAACUUCCCUAUUCUUAACUUGAAAAGUUGUUGUGGGUAAAUUCUAAACAUUCACUUUAAAUACAUAUUUAUUUGAUUUGCCAAACCCUAUUGUUAUGCCUUUGAAGUUAGAUAACUGUAAGAUGUAAGUAAUCUGUCAAACAUGCUUCAUUGUGAAGUUGGCUGGGAUUGACUGCAGCCCCCCGCGACCCCGUGUGCAGGAAAAGCGGUUUAAAGUUGGAUGGAUGGAUGGACGGAUGCUUCAUUGGGUAGCAAUCAAUCAUCAAUGUGGUGCCCCAUUCCAAUUUUACUGCCAGAUGUUAGUCAACAUUAUAUUCCCAAGUAGUGAUUCUGUCCUCCAGUACCCUGAAAAUUACAUCCGAUACAAAUAUAACUUGCAACUGUUAAAGAUGUGAUGUUUGCUUUAUAAAUGAAUUUAUAAAUGAUAUAUAUAUAUAUUUAUAAAUUAAUUUAUAAAGCAAACAGGUGUCCAGGUGAAGAUUCAUAAUUUGAAAUGGACAUUUAGGGGGUCCUGGAUGCAGCAUCAGGAUGUCAGACUACCAACACAAGGCUUUGAAUAAAGGCCCAGGAACGCCUUCUUAUUUCCCAUCAUUCCAUUCAGGACUGAGGUUGGCCUUCAUUAUCUCAAGCGUGUGUCUAUCAAUCACAGUUGCUAUGAGCAGAACAAAUCUGUAAUGUCCUCUCAGGCUUAAGGCAUUUAGCUGAUUUAUGUCUGACAAAGUGUGCCUUCCUAUUGUGGCUAUAUGUUUUAAAAUAAGCGCUGAGAAGUAAACACCAACAAAGAUUCAUCCCAAGAACGGGGAUAAGUCAAUGGCAGUGAAGAUCAGGGAAAAAGAGUAAUUUGCUGAAUUCAAAAUCCUUCCGAAAGGCAUUUUCUCUUGAUGCGUUUUUAUUUCCUGACACCACUUUUCAGAGGUUGCCUUGAAAGGUUCAAUAUACUGUAUAAUCUGUUCGAAAAGGAGUUCUUCAUCUGAAGUGUCAUACAGAUAACCUAAAACAUAAUUUUGUUGAUGACAUUUUUGAAACAGAUUUUCACACAAUUUGUCGGGUGACAAACCAUUAAAGCAAACCCCCUUUUUGUCACGAGUGUGA